UUCAGAUCAUCGCCGUCGUUG
rnacentral:sRNA from 1 species